rnacentral:lncRNA from 1 species
CGCAAAACUAAGAUCAUGUUAGCGUAAUAGAGAUAUAAGACAAAAUAGAGAUCUCUAUACAUGAUUUAUAAAAUCAUUAAAAAUAUACUAAUUAGAACCAGAUAAAACUUUACUAAACUUUCAGCAACAACCAGCAGAAUUGAAAUGUUAAAGUGAGACGAAUGCAGUAAAUUACUAUAAUUCAAUACUUAACAAAACUUUGAUAAGGAGCCGUAAGAAUUGAAGUGUGUUAAAGUGAGAAGAAUGCAGUAAGUUACUGUAAUUCAAUAAUACUGUAUGUACCUUCUCUUCAUCUUCAUCCUUCUUUUUUCAAGUAACUACAUAUAUCUUGUUGCACAAGGAACAAAAUAGUUAGAUGGGUGGUAUAGAACACAAGCACU